rnacentral:rRNA from 1 species
ACGCUCGACACCUACUGGAGGCAGCAGUGGGGAAUAUUGCACAAUGGGGGAAACCCUGAUGCAGCGAUGCCGCGUGAAGGAAGAAGUAUCUCGGUAUGUAAACUUCUAUCAGCAGGGAAGAAAAUGACGGUACCUGACUAAGAAGCCCCGGCUAACUACGUGCCAGCACGCCGUAGUAUNGNGGCGGCGUGACGACGGC